UUAAAUUGAAGAGUUUGAUCAUGGCUCAGAUUGAACGCUGGCGGCAGGCCUAACACAUGCAAGUCGAACGGUAACAGGAAGCAGCUUGCUGCUUUGCUGACGAGUGGCGGACGGGUGAGUAAUGUCUGGGAAACUGCCUGAUGGAGGGGGAUAACUACUGGAAACGGUGGCUAAUACCGCAUAACGUCGCAAGACCAAAGAGGGGG
rnacentral:rRNA from 2 species